ensembl:lncRNA
GAAGGGCGCACUUGUUGAGUUUGGGAACUUUCAGAGGCUUGAACUUCUCACUUAGGACGCAGCGGAGCUCUCUCAUCAUCAUCAAAUUCAGGCGAAGUGGAUUUAUGCUGACUUUUUACGUCUGGGACUAUGUUUUGCUUUGUCGAAGUGGUUUGUCUUUAGUGUUUUACGCGUUAUAGACGCGCACCGAUAUAGCGUGCGCGAGUAAUAACAUUACUAUGAGGAUGUAGACGCGCCUUUAAUGCACUCGCGUCACUUUAAUCGAUUCCUAUCUGAAGGAGAGUUAGUGUUUGGUGCAGAGAUGUGGGGCUGUUGGGAUAUGGGAUUAUUUAUGGACUAUCAUUGGACUUUAAACUCUAAAGGGACACUCGCUUGAGCAGUGAACGGAGAAUAUCGCUGCUUUGCCAAGAUGCAUCAUCAGCCCAAAUCCGAUGGGACGCUUCAGCAUGCUGUCAUCUGUUCAGAUGGAGUGACAUUUGUCUGACUGAAGCUGCGCUAUCAAGCGUCAUGCCGGGGAUCACACGUCGGCCCAGCGCCGCCGGAGGGAAGAGACUCACUCAGCACCAGACUGUCUUUGUUUAGCUCUUACAGACAAUGGUAAGCUGCCAUUUUUGUGCUCGUUUGGUAAAAAACAAACCGCUGGAGUUCAAUCAACUUGAAUUUGGCUUGGAUUUUCAAUCCCUUCUGAAAGUAGGAUGUUGGGGGCCGCGCUGAAGACACAGAAGACAAAGAAAGACGUUACUCUACAAACAGAUUUUCCAGAGCUGAAUGCAGCGAAGCAUCUAUUGCUGAGACACUGAUGCGAUGCUACAUUUCUCCAAAUCUGUUCUGAUGAAGAAACCAACUCAUCAACAUCUUGGAUGGCCUAAGGGGAGUCCGGGGAGUCCGGCCACACCAAACUGAACUGUGAACUUGCAACUUCCUGUGCUGUAGGCGUCUGUUGCUAGGAAACAAGUGGCCCACUCCGUCAAUUUCAGCUGGGGUGAAAUAAAUGCCACACUUGAUAUUGCAGGUCAUGACCACCCAUUGGGCUCGGAGGAGAGAGAUUCCCUGCACGCCGUCUCCUUGGAAUAUUAAUGGGCUUCUCCUGGGAAAACUGCCCACAGAAUAGGCCACUCCAUCGCUGUCUCUGUUUCCGCUCAGCUGUCCUGAGGGUACGUGAGGGUGUUCGGUACAAUCCGGUCUGGAGAAAACUCAAGUACACCUCAAACUUUUGUUUUGAUGUCUCAUUAAGAACUCUUGAAUGUUUCUUUUUUCCCCCUAUAAUGUCAGUAAAAUAUAUUACUGCUUUUAUUACACAAUAAAAAGCACAGGAACAGCUACAUUUAUGAUGUCAAAUUCCUCAGUCUCAACUUUAGAACCGUAAUCAGUAAUAAGACAUAUUGGUUGAAAUGAGGGGUCAUUAGCAUUUGGGAACAGAUCGUUCGAGCAUUGAGAGAGGUGACAAUGAUGCCGAUCACCACUGGUUUUCAUCACCGGAGCUGCAUACUUCUUUCCCACUCGAUGGCAGAAGCCGAGACAUCUCAUGUGUUUCGCCAUUAUGAGAGUGACCGUCCUAAUGGCUUCUACAGAUGGCAGAGAAAUUUUCCUUCAGUCCCUUUCACAUUCUUUAUCUGUAUUUGACUCUCUGUCACUUGCUUUCAGUCAUUCCACUAUUUCCUCUGCCCCGGUCUGGGUCUCUGAGGUGAGCGCUGAGUUUCUGGCACAUUUAUGUGAAGAAUCUGUUUUUAACAGCCUGCCAAGCUGUGAAUAUAAUAAGAUGAAUUUUAAAUGACAUGGAAGGGUAAUUACAAGUGGAGUUGGAAUGCCC